rnacentral:misc_RNA from 1 species
CUGGGGUAUGUUCUCACUUGUUUGCGUGAGAUGGAACGAGAAGGCACAUAAAUAUUUUGUGUUUGUGUUGUCAAAUGUUUGCAAAAGUUUUGACUCUUGAUUAUGACUCAGAACCUAAAAAAUUGAUCCAAAACAAAUGACGUCAGUGGUUGCAGUCGGCUGGAAUUACAGUCAUCCAAACAAUUCUUCGAUAUCCUGUUAUUGGUCUAUAACGAAUUUUUACGAUGGUCUAUUUAUAUUUCUACGUCAACGUCAGUUGGAGGAUUUAAAUGUACUCUACUCUUCACCACUCAUUCAAAACCAAAACAUGCAUUUUCCAUUUUUCUUCAGAAUAAAUUAAAAAUAGGGGAGUGCGUUUUUCAUGAUUAUUGAGUAUUGAGUUUGUUAAACAAGGUCAAAGUGUUGAAAAUGGAAGACCAUAUAAUUGAGGUUUUAAAAACUCCUAUAAAAAGUAAAAGUGAUAAAAAAGAAUACAAAAUUAUCAAACUGAAAAAUGGUUUAAUUGCAGUACUUAUAUCUGAUGUACAAAACCAAACAGAUUCAAAUGAAAUAAAUCAAGUAGAAACUGCUAAGGAAGAAAAAAUGGCAGCUGCCACAUUGCAAAUUAGGGCUGGAUGUUUAUGUGAUCCUGUAGAAAUCUUAGGACUUUCGCAUUUUCUGGAACAUAUGGUUUUUAUGGGCAGUGAGAAAUUUCCGGCAGAAAAUGAUUUUGAUUCCUUUAUUAGAAAAGGAGGUGGUAGUACUAAUGCCUAUACAGAUUAUGAAGAAACAGCAUUUUACUUUGAGUGCCUUGAAAAACAUCUUCCUGAAGCUUUAGAUAAAUGGUCACAGUUUUUUAUAGCUCCCUUAUUAAAAGAAGAUGCAUUGACUAGGGAAAGAGAAGCCGUGGAUUCAGAAUUUCAAAUGGCGUUACCAAACGAUGAAUGGAGAAAGUGGCAACUGUUAAUGAGGACAGCUAAAAAAGGUACAUGUGUACAGGUAAGCUUUCCAUGGGGUAAUUUGAAGACUUUAAAAGACAAUAUAUCUGAUGGUGAGUUGUACAAAAGUGUUCACGAACAUAGAAAGAGGUACUAUUCUUCACAUAACAUGACUUUAGCUGUACAAGCAAGACUCCCAUUAGACACACUAGAAGAUUAUGUCAAGGAUUUCUUUUCAGGUAUACCAAAUAAUAAUUUACCUAAACCUAAUUUUAGCGAGUUUGUUGAUGUUUUUGAUACACCUGAAUUUAACCGAAUCUACUAUAUUAAACCAUUAAAUGAAACAAUUCAACUAGAUCUUGUUUGGGCUUUACCAUCACAUAAAUAUGAAUAUAAGAGCAAACCAAUAAAAUAUUUAUCACAUUUGUUGGGUGAUGAAGGUAAAGGUAGUAUUUUGUCGUAUUUGAAGAAGCAUAUGUGGGCUUUGGCACUAACAUCAGGUUGUUCCUGUUCUGAGUAUGACAAUAACUCUCUUUUUAGCUUGUUUACUUUAAAUGUAGUAUUAACAGAAGAGGGGUUAAAACAUGUCUUUGAUGUUAUUGCAGUAAUUUUUGCUUAUAUCAAUCUUUUAAAAACAGAGGGUCCACAAGAACAAGUGUUUGAAGAGCUGAAAGUAAUUGCUGAUACAGAUUUUAGGUUUGAAACUCAAUAUUCGGCUAGUUAUACCACAAUUACACUUGCCACUAACUUGCAUGUAUAUCCUCCUGAAGAUGUCAUUUCUGCUAGUAAAAUAUACAUGGAAUAUAGAGAAGAUAAAAUAACUGAGGUAGUGAACAAGUUGACACCCAAAAAUGUAUACAUUGCUAUUACAACAAAAGUAUUACCAGAUGGUUUACAAUUCAACAAGAAAGAAAAAUGGUUACAAGCCGAAUACACAGACAUACAGAUUUCUGAGGAACUAUUAAGCAAAUGGGAGUUAGUGGUACCAUAUACUGAACUCAGUCUCCCUCCUCCUAACCCUUUUUUGACCAGCAAUUUUGAUUUACUACCUUGCACCUCCAAUCACCCUGAUUAUCCAGAAAAAUUAAUAGAUACAGACAAAUGUGAAUUAUGGUACAGACAAGAUCAAAAGUUUAAGCUACCAACAGCCCAUUUCUGUAUAUACCUCAUAAAUCCUGUUACCAUAGAAUCACCAAAAAAUUUUGCCUUAACUGAUUUGUUUGUUGAACUACUAUCAUUUGCUAAAUGUGAAGAGGUUUAUCCAGCUACUAUGGCCAGUUUGUGUGCAUAUUUUACAGCUGAAGACAGGGGAAUCACAGUGCAAGUAGAUGGGUUUAAUGAAAAGUUGCCAUUGUUAUUGGAAUUAAUGACAAAAUAUGUAUUAAAUUUGUCUGACCAUAUAAAUCAAGACAUAUUUAAUGGGGUUAAAGAAGAGACUUUAAAACAAUAUUAUAAUAGAGUAUUUCAAACCGAUUCUUUAGAAUAUGAACUUGAACAAAAACUGUUGAUUAGAAACUAUUUUUCUCCUUUAGAUACUUACAGGGAACUUUAUAAUCUUACUUUUGAUGAUAUGCUAGAUUUUAUUCAAAUUUUUCCAAAAAACCUUUAUGUUAAAUCUCUUGUUCAGGGAAAUGUUUCAGCAGAUGUAGCAUGUGACACCAUUAACAAGUUUAUUACAAGUUUGGAUUUUGAAGGAAUACCAAAAGAAAAAUAUCCCAAAUUGUAUGUACCACAGAUACCUCUUGGGGAAAAGUGUCUAUUUGUGGAAUCAUUUAAUAAAAAAGAUACCAAUUGCAUUACUUCAAAUUUAUACCAAGUAGGAUUGUUUUCUCUGCAAGACAUGGUUCUUAUGGACAUACUUAUGAGAAUAAUUGAUGAACCAUGUUACAACACUCUCCGUACAAAUUAACAACUAGGGUAUGCUGUAUCUACAUAUGGGCGUAGAGUGCAUGGUGUAUUAGUUUACUCCAUACAUGUUACCUCUCAGGUUAAUAAAUAUUCCACAGAAUAUUUAGAUUCCAGAAUUGAAGCAUUUUUAAAACAAUCUCAAAAACUAGUAGAUGAAACUACUGUUGAAGGUUUAGAGAAGAUUAAAGAGGAUUUAGUUAAAACAAAACAAGUCUGUGACCAUAAUUUAUCAGAAGAAGUGUAUAGGAAUUGGUUAGAGAUUAUCUAUGAUGAUUAUAUGUUUGAUAGAGCAAAA